GGUCAUGCUUUUCCACAGCUUUCUUGAACUUGUUCCUUCUUUUCCUGUCUAUUAACCAUGGAAUUAAGCUCAAGAAAGCUGUGGGAGAACAUGGCGG
rnacentral:pre_miRNA from 1 species